rnacentral:rRNA from 1 species
AUACGGAGGAUCCGAGCGUUAUCCGGAUUUAUUGGGUUUAAAGGGAGCGUAGGCGGACGCUUAAGUCAGUUGUGAAAGUUUGCGGCUCAACCGUAAAAUUGCAGUUGAUACUGGGUGUCUUGAGUACAGUAGAGGCAGGCGGAAUUCGUGGGGUAGCGGGGGAAUGCUUAGAUAUCACGAAGAACUCCGAUUGCGAAGGCAGCCUGCUGGACUGUAACUGACGCUGAUGCUCGAAAGUGUGGGUAUCAAACAGGAUUAGAUACCCUGGUAGUCCACACAGUAAACGAUGAAUACUCGCUGUUUGCGAUAUACAGUAAGCGGCCAAGCGAAAGCGUUAAGUAUUCCACCUGGGGAGUACGCCGGCAACGGUGAAACUCAAAGGAAUUGACGGGG